rnacentral:rRNA from 1 species
GUAGGUGGCAAGCGUUGUCCGGAAUUAUUGGGGCGUAAAGCGCGCGCAGGCGGUCCUUUAAGUCUGAUGUGAAAGCCCACGGGCUCAACCGUGGGAGGGUCAUUGGAAACUGGGGGACUUGAGUGCAGAAGAGGAGAGUAGAAUUCCACGUGUAGCGGUGAAAUGCGUAGAGAUGUGGAGGAACACCAGUGGCGAAGGCGACUCUCUGGUCUGUAACUGACGCUGAGGCGCGAAAGCGUGGGGAGCGAACAGGAUUAGAUACCCUGGUAGUCCACGCCGUAAACGAUGAGUGCUAAGUGUUAGAGGGUUUCCGCCCUUUAGUGCUGCAGCUAACGCAUUAAGCACUCCGCCUGGGGAGUACGGUCGCAAGACUG